rnacentral:rRNA from 1 species
AACGAACGCUGGCGGCAUGCCUAACACAUGCAAGUCGAACGAGACCUUCGGGUCUAGUGGCGCACGGGUGCGUAACGCGUGGGAACCUGCCCUUAGGUUCGGAAUAACUCCCCGAAAGGGGUGCUAAUACCGGAUAAUGUCUUCGGACCAAAGAUUUAUCGCCUUUGGAUGGGCCCGCGUUGGAUUAGCUAGUUGGUAGGGUAAAAGCCUACCAAGGCGACGAUCCAUAGCUGGUCUGAGAGGAUGAUCAGCCACACUGGGACUGAGACACGGCCCAGACUCCUACGGGAGGCAGCAGUGGGGAAUAUUGGACAAUGGGCGAAAGCCUGAUCCAGCAAUGCCGCGUGAGUGAUGAAGGCCUUAGGGUUGUAAAGCUCUUUUACCCGGGAUGAUAAUGACAGUACCGGGAGAAUAAGCGCCGGCUAACUACGUG